AAUCCUCAACCCCGUCGGUUGGUCGGGGCUUGGACUUUGGAGUGUGCUGGCGAAGGUCGGCUCCUCUUUAAAUGCAUCAGUGGAGAAAAACUUUUUUCCCCCUUCUGCGCGAUAACUGCGUUGCGCUGUGGUCGUGAAAGGGUCAGCUCAUAAUCGUUCUCUGGGACGAACAUCAAAUCUG
rnacentral:misc_RNA from 1 species